GGAAACCAAGAAACUGAGAAUCAAAGAGGUUAAAUGACUUAAGAAAGAUUUCACCUCUAGUUAGAGGCAGAGACAAAUCUAGAAUUUUUCCUGAUUCUGAGUGCAAUGCACUUUCCUGACCUUCACUCAACCUGAGUUUGAUCUUACAGAGGAAGUCUUUGAAGACCUGCUGGGACAAUUGUUUGUUUCCCACAGAAUUCUGCGGCUAGCUCUAUUUCCUUAAUCCUGAAAUUCCAGCUCAGUACUUAUUUUCCAAACCUGUCACCAUUAACUUGAUUUUCUUCCUUUCCUCUUCCUUGCUCCCCAUCAUAUGUAAACUCUGAUUUAUAUCUGACCAGGAAACACACUCAAAAUAUAUUUCUCAAGUGUUUACCCAAUGGUGCCCCAGGCAAUACCAAUAAUGAUG
rnacentral:lncRNA from 1 species